UACGAAGGGGGCUAGCGUUGCUCGGAAUUACUGGGCGUAAAGGGCGCGUAGGCGGCACUGUUAGUCAGGCGUGAAAGUCCUGGGCUCAACCUGGGAACUGCGCUUGAUACGGCAGAGCUAGAGGAUGGAAGAGGGUCGCGGAAUUCCCAGUGUAGAGGUGAAAUUCGUAGAUAUUGGGAAGAACAUCGGUGGCGAAGGCGGCGACCUGGUCCAUUACUGACGCUGAGGCGCGACAGCGUGGGGAGCAAACAGG
rnacentral:rRNA from 1 species